CUACGGGAGGCAGCAGUGGGGAAUAUUGGACAAUGGGCGAAAGCCUGAUCCAGCAAUGCCGCGUGAGUGAUGAAGGCCUUAGGGUUGUAAAGCUCUUUCACCGGGGAAGAUAAUGACGGUACCCGGAGAAGAAGCCCCGGCUAACUCCGUGCCAGCAGCCGCGGUAAUACGGAGGGGGCUAGCGUUGUUCGGAAUUACUGGGCGUAAAGCGCGCGUAGGCGGCUUGGUAAGUUGGAGGUGAAAGCCCGAAGCUCAACUUCGGAAUUGCCUUCAAAACUACCAAGCUAGAGGCAGAGAGAGGAGAGCGGAAUAUCCAGUGUAGAGGUGAAAUUCGUAGAUAUUGGAUGGAACACCGGUGGCGAAGGCGGCUCUCUGGCUCUGUUCUGACGCUGAGGUGCGAAAGCAUGGGUAGCAAACAGGAUUAGAAACCCGAGUAGUCC
rnacentral:rRNA from 1 species